UACGUAGGGUGCAAGCGUUGUCCGGAAUUAUUGGGCGUAAAGAGCUCGUAGGCGGUUUGUCGCGUCGACUGUGAAAAACCCGAGGCUCAACUUCGGGCUUGCAGUCGAUACGGGCAGGCUAGAGUUCGGUAGGGGGAGACUGGAAUUCCUGGUGUAGCGGUGAAAUGCGCAGAUAUCAGGAGGAACACCGAUGGCGAAGGCAGGUCUCUGGGCCGAUACUGACGCUGAGGAGCGAAAGCGUGGGGGAGCGAACAGG
rnacentral:rRNA from 1 species